CCCCUGAUGGUCCAGUGGUUAGGAUUCUGCUCUCUCACUGCUGAGGGCCUGGGUUCAAUCCCUGGUUAGGGAA
rnacentral:tRNA from 1 species